UCAUGAUUGACUGAGCUGCGAGCAUUGAUAUUGCUUCAUCCAUCUUCCUACAGAGAAAUUGGGAAUGGGGGAUGGGAUUCGUGGUUUAUGUCCCUUGAGGAGCAGUCCCAAAUUGUUUGCAACAAGGUGAAGAAAAUGAAAGAGCUAAAAGAGGGCUUCAACUUUGUUGGUCUCUCCCAGGUGAUUCAUGACGACUUGAGAACUAUAAUUCUGU